rnacentral:rRNA from 1 species
UGAGGAAUAUUGGUCAAUGGACGCAAGUCUGAACCAGCCAAGUAGCGUGCAGGAUGACGGCCCUAUGGGUUGUAAACUGCUUUUAUAUGGGGAUAAAGUGGGGAACGUGUUCCCUUUUGCAGGUACCAAAUGAAUAAGGACCGGCUAAUUCCGUGCCAGCAGCCGCGGUAAUACGGAAGGUUCGGGCGUUAUCCGGAUUUAUUGGGUUUAAAGGGAGCGUAGGCCGUUUGGUAAGCGUGUUGUGAAAUGUAGGAGCUCAACUUCUAGAUUGCAGCGCGAACUGUCAGACUUGAGUGCGCACAACGUAGGCGGAAUUCAUGGUGUAGCGGUGAAAUGCUUAGAUAUGACGAAGAACUCCGAUUGCGAAGGCAGCUUGCGGGAGCAAAACUGACGCUGAAGCUCGAAAGUGCGGGUAUCGAACAGG